GUUCUGUGUUGGUCUUGCUGGCAGCUGCAGACCAAAGCUGUUUCUAUUCGGCCAUCUUGCCAGGCCCCCAUUAUUCAAGGCCUUUACAUUGAUUAAGUCAUUUAAUCUACUCAAUACUAAUUUCAUUUUAGUAAUAGUACUAAUUAUACAUAUUAAUAUAUUACAGGAGGAAUUUGAGAUCCAGAGCAAUUGGGACAAUUUCUUGAGGUUAACAGCUAGUAAGUGGGGGAGUUAAGAUUGCACCCACAUUUGCCUAAUUUGAAAAGUGACGCUCUUUCCACUAUGCGUUGUGGCUUCUUAUGAUCAAAAUGUUCUUUUAAAUGAGAAGUCCAGGAAAAGCUAUCUGGGGGCAUCUUCAGGGAGAUACUAUUAGUGAUGCAUAGAAUGACUACAUCUGAUGUAAUGAGUUGUAAACAUCUGAAAGGAGCUACUGAUUAAUACAGAAGAAGAGGGGUAGAAAAAGAACGCAGACAGACACAGUGCUGCUGGAAUGUCCCAGGUUUCUGUGUGGCAGAGCCCUGGAGAGUGCUCUUGGUGUUGUCCAUGCGGCCCUGCCUAGCUAAGCACAGGAGCUGUCACUCCUCGGAAGGUGGCCACACCAAGCUGCUCUCUCACUGGCUCCUGCUGAGCCAUGCCUUCCCCGCUUUCAUUCCGCAUCUUACCACAAAGAGAACUCAUUUUGCUCACAAACACUAGAACUCAAUGAUAAAUAAAUCAACUUGUGAAUAUGAAGGCAACCACGUUCUGGCCUCAGAAGCCUUGCUUUGCCUGACGACUACCAGGGCUCCCUCUAGGCCUCAAAGGCAUUAUGCCAGUCACCUUAUGGAAAUUUAAGUGAGUAUGUUGAGAUGUUCUUUAAGCUGCUGGGUAGCUGAUCAGCAGGAGGCAUUGAUCUCCCAGCACAGAGAUGUUCCAAAGAGGAAAAAGGAAAAUAAUUAGAAAAUCAAAGAAAUGCCUAUUACCAGCUCCGCUGUGGUCAUAAGCUUUGAAAUAAGGAGUUAGCACUAAGAUGCCUGUGGCUCAGGGCUGGCCAGAAAGUGGAAGUAUAGAGUGGGUGAGGUUUUGUGUUCAUCCUUCCUCCCACCCCACCAUUGCUGCUCACCGCCCAACCCAACAAGUGCAUGCACAGCCUGUGAGCCUUUCCUCAUGGGCCUACUCAUCCUACCUGCUGGGGAAGUAAUCUUCCCUAAGAUUGGUGGCAUUCCCUGAAACUGGUGACUAACUGCAUGACUGCAGAGAGAAGACCUGGUUUUAGACGUUAUUUUCCAUGUAUGAGCUGUGGGAUAUGGCUUAACCUCCGGGGAUCAGGUUCCCCACUCAUAACAUGUUGAUACCAAUACCUACUUUAUAAGGUUAUCAUGAGAAUCAAACUAGAUAAUGCAUGUAAAUCCCUCAUCAUAAAACCCAGCACAUAGUAAGAAUUCAGGAGAUAGAAGUAUUUUCUCACUCCUCCCUGUGUUUCCAUGGAGGACCUCUGUUCCACUGAGCAGAAGAAAGCCAGAUUGGAUGAGCACAUCUGUUAGCUCUUUGAGCCUCUCAUUCACUCCUCUCCAAUGCAGGGGAAGUGGCUUUGCUGACUAGUAAGAGUCUGCCUUUCCUCAGGCUCCAUGUAAGGACAAUUAAGCUCAAAUAUGAUCUGGUAUUUUCCCUGUGCUCUGCAAAAUUCACAUUCUAGCAAGGUAACCUGUUUCAUUGCUCUACCAGGGCUUGUGCACAGCCGGCAUAGCUCAGGCAGAGCCUCACGCCUGCCUCUGACACUGUCCUCAAAGCCUCUUUGAUUUCCCCCUUGCAUUUGAUUGGGUAAGACACAUUCCUCCCCUCAGAAGGUAGGCAUGAGGGAGCUAGCGUUCGUUUUGCUGACCCAGCCUCUCCCCAAGAAAGGCCACAGGAUCUAGAUAUGAUGAUGGUGGUGGCAGGAGGCCUAAGAUGCAUCUGACAAGACUGUACGGCUCUAGAGCCCUGGGUUUCAGGGUAGUAAAGUCCUUACUGGACUUUGACCUCAUCCACAGUCUUGUUUCUGUUCUUAGUUGCCACAGGGCUUCAAGAGGAGGGCUAAUGUGAGUAAUAAGUAAACAAGACGUCGUCAGUGAGUACAAUCUGUAACAUAAUUACAAGUAUUAAAAUCUCAUAUUUUUAUUAUCCGAAACAUUCCCUAAAGGAGAAGUUCUCCCAGGAACUUUGGAAAUUUAAUGCGAGAUUUCUAGACCUGUGACAUUAUCAACCACGAGGCAUGAGAAUCUAUGGUGGCUCUCCAUGUAAAUACCGAUGGCACGGCUUCCUGUUAUUUCCAUCUCUUAAUUCCUGAUAUGAGCAGAUUCUUACCUGUUUGCUCCUGAAUUUAGCCCUGAGGACAAUCUUUUCUUCUUAGCUAUCAGAACAAGAACACUGGAGUUGAUUAUCUUUCUAAGCUCAGAUAGAAGCAGAGUCCAAAUCUAUAACAGUCUUUUUCAUCAAUGAGGAAUAUGAGUGUGAUGGUGAUGGCAGGAAGGUAAAAGAAGGAAAAUAUCCCAGAAAUAGAUUUGGAAAAAUAUCUUGUGUCUCCCUAUUUCUGCUUUCUAGAGACAGUGAUGCCCUAGCAGUAUUGAAAACAGCUAGCACCUUGAUCUUGGUUCCUAAAUACCAUCCACUACUCAAGAGAACUAGGUUUUCUUGGAGACAGGCUUGACUUCAGGACUGGAAAGAGAAGGCAGAAGUGCGUCUAAAAUGUUCUGUCAUGCCAGAGAGAAAGAAAAUGUGCAAAAAAUAAUGAGCACACAUCAAAAUAGCACAGGGCCAGCUUGAUGGGACACUAUCUGGCCAAAUCUAGGACAAAUGAAAUCAAAACAAAUAACAUAAAUUGAUUAUAAUCUGUUGAAUAGAAUAAAAUGUCAUGGUCCCAUGCUUAUAAUUUAAAAAAAAAAAACUAAAUAAAUGUUGUAAAGGGGAAAGUUCUUCCUUACAUAAAUAUGUCAACUAAUAACUAUAUAAGGAAUGAUGGCAUCAGGGAAAAAAAGCCAGCAUCAUGCAUCCGUACCAGUGACAACCAGCUCAGGUGAGAAUUAUCAAAGGCUGCUACACAGAAAUUCAAUGAAGGAAAGUUAUUUACAUAGUCUCAAAAUGUCUUUCCAGCAAUUACUUACUAAUCUCAGAAAAAUGGUAACAUUAAAGUGGAGAAUCCUGGCAGAUACUUCCUUAACCAAGUGAUCAUUGCUAGCAUCACCAAUACUGAGACAUGCCAACAGCAUGCCCUCCUACCAUGAACUUUCAUGUAUAUGGUAUUCCUGCCCAUAAAUGUAUAACCUGAGUCCAGGACAUAUCAGACAAACUCUUCUCCUGGAACCUCACAUAGUAGAAGGGGCAGAAGUCUCUGUUGAGACCCUUUUAUAAGGGUACUAACCCCAUCAUCAAUUGUCCACCCUCAUGACCUGAUCACCUCCCAAAGCCACCACCUCCUGACCCCUCACACUGAGGAUUAGGAUUUUAGUAUGUAUUUUGGGGUAUACAAACAUUUCAGACCAUGGCAGGGACAAUGCCUUGACAGAAGAAGGCUAAAACCAUUAAAAAAAAAUGACAACCAGAUGCAUUGUGUGAUCUGGUACCAGAUCCAAGAUGGAAGAAAAAUAAAAGAUAUUACUAGCAAAAAUGGAAAAUUCUGAAUAAUAACUGCAUAUUAUAUGAUGUUGUAUAAACGUUAAAUAUCCUUUCGUAAUUGUAAGAGAAUAUCUUGUUCUUAACAUAAACACAUGGAAGUGUUGGAGAAAAGGGUUAUGAUGUUUGCAGCUAUAUCUGAAAUGGUCAGAAAAAUAUUGAUUCACACAGAUAUGUACAUUAUCUAUGUUUAUCUAUCUAUCUAUCUACCCAUCUCUCCAUUCCUAGAAAUGAUGAUAAAACAAAUGUGAUGAAAUAUUAACAGUAGGCAAAUCUUUCAGGGGGUUAGUGAGUGCUUUUGUACUAUUCUGGAAAUUUUUCUAUAAGUGUGAAAUUAUUUUAAGGUAAAAAGCUAAAAAGGAGUUUAUAUAUGUAGACUAUUUACAGUUACAAGAGCAGCCAAACAUAUUAGUUUAUUCGACCUUCAUUAAGGAGCCCUGGGUGGUGUGUGUGUGCACGCACACAUGUGUAUAUGCAUGCUCACGUGUGUUAGUAAUAGCCUUAUUUUACACAUGAGUAAACUGAAGCUCUGAGAGGUUAUGGGAUUUCUUUGAGGUCAAUAACUAAUAUUAGCACAGAAAUUCAGAAACCAUGAGUCCACCUGAAGCCGGCACCAAAAGUUCUUCACUAAUUCCUUCUGAACUUCCAUUUAGCCGACAUACUGCAUUACCCAGACUUCUCCACUCUCUGGCAGUCAUGGGGACUGACUUCCAUAGUGUGCUGAAUUCCCAGUCUAUGCCAUUUGCUCCCUCUGGCUUACCCAGGUGCUCAUGCGUUUACUAGUUGAGCCAUAUGCUUACCAAGAGUCAGCUGCAUCAUUUCCAAACUCUGUGCUUACCAGGUGUACUUGUUCACUUAAUUACAUAAUUUACCUAAAACCCUCACAAACUGGUACAAUCUGAGUGUAAAAAGAGAAUUGUCAUUUCUAUGAAAACUAAGUAGAAUAUUUUAGAAAUAUUCAAUAUAAUAGCUUGGAAAAAAAAAACCCUCCUGCAGUUGAAUUAAAUAUGGGGGAAAAACCUAGUAGGGAUGGGGAGAAAUCAUAGAGUCUAGAAAUAUUUUAUACUCAGAUAGGUUCACAUUAGGAACCUUCACCCUCAUGCUCGACUUUAAAGAAAUUCAAAGUAGAAAUCAAGAGUGAUACUGUCAGAAUAUUGUCUAUUCAAGGAGACACCAGUUUCCAGUCAGCAGACACAGUCUCAAAGAGAUGGUGUUGACCCAGUGUCAGAAGUCAAACAAAGGUACACGUACACGCUGUGGUAUAUUUACAAGUCUUCUCCAUGGCUGCUUUUGAAACACCAGUGUACUCAGCUUUUUCUUGUAACAAGGUACCUGCUUAUUCUAUUGGAGACGCGUAAAGGGCUUCUAUUCAUUGUUCUGAUUUUAGACUAUUCCCAGUUCCCUACAGCUCCACCCUGCCCAGUUUAGAUUCUAUAACCAUCCAAAAGACCAUCUAUGAUUCAGAACUGGUGAAUGGCUUGCCCCCAUUCCGUCGAUCUCUACAUGACACUAUCAACUGAUAUGCAGUAGGACAUGGAGUGAUUCAUUUAACUCCUCCCCCUGCCUCCAGACCACUGAACUAUCCAUCGUCCAAAAUAUGAGCUCAGUUAAAGCAACAUGGGAAGCAUUGAGGCUUCUACAAUUUGGGUACUGUCCAUUAAAAUAAUACAUCUACAUAUAUCUACACUGAGUGCUCUCAUUAUUUAAACUGGGAAACAAUUAAUGUGUGUAGCUAUCAUUUACAAACCAUUCGGUCUCCGAAUGCUUGCAAUAGAUUUACUCUCAGUGUUACUCUGACCUGGUGACCUAGAAAAUGUCCAAGAGAAGGUAAGUCAUUUAAAGGAGGAAACAAUGCCACUAUCUCCUUUCACACUCAUUGCUGCUUGAAUAAAAGAAGGAAAACGAAGCAUACACCCUCUGCUCUGAGUGCCAGCCAGGCCCCCAGCAAGGAGACCCGGGCUCCCCAGGUGAAGUUCCUUAAAUCUUACAUUGCUGCCCCUCGCCAAGCCCACAGGUAGGUGAAAGCAGUGGGUGGUGGGAAGAAGCGGGAGGAGAAAGUGGGACACAGAUGAAAGGAGCACUUUAUUUGAUAAAAUCGUAAAGAGCAGCUUGUACUGUAGAGCAAGAAUCUCCAAGUAAUAAAUGUCAGGUUUAUGAACAAUUGAGCCUCUCCUUUCCUGACUGAAAUUGCUCUUUGAGGUCAGCUCUGUAAGUGCUCUGUGAGGUGAGGAGGCUGCGCUGCUGAGGGGGUUUGAGGUCGCUGAUGCACCACUGGGAACGGGAAAGGGGGUGUGGGGGUGUGGGGGUAUUGGGUUUGCCCAUUGUGUUAUUAGGGUCUACACUGAAAGAAGUGAUAACUAUGCUGAGUAGUUUUUUUGUAUUUUUUUGUUUUUUGGUUUGUUUGUUGUUUUUUUUUUUUGAGACGGAGUCUCGCUCUGUUGCCCAGGCUGGAGUGCAGUGGUGCGAUCUUGGCUCACUCCAAGUUCCACCUUCCAGGUUCACGCCAUUCUCCUGCCUCAUAUGCUGAGUAGUUUUAAUAAAGAAAAGCAUCCAGACAUCCCCACAAACAAGACUUUGUGACUGGAGCCUCAGUAAGGGGUCACUGAACUCCAGAACCACACUCACUCAACAAGACAAAGUACCUUCCUCAACACCAGGCUGCUGAACCCUCCCAUAGCUCACACACAGCUGCCCAUUGUCAAAAACAAAAGCAAUGAGUGAGAUGGAAUUCUCUUUUCAAUAUCUGCUCCUACCCUCAAAGUAGACGCUGCCUUUGGGUGGGCCAGUCCAGUAGCAUAACCAAGGAAUGUAAAUCCUCAGCAUGUAAAGGCGGGGUGGAAAGAAGCCACAGACACGCAUGUGGGAGACUCGCGCACCCACACCAAAGCUGACUUCGAUGCUUAAAGGUCGAAGCACCGGACCCCUCUUCUUUUAUCUCUGUGGUAGAGACAAACACAACUUACAUCUCAUUUCCUCAUGAUCUACAGUGAAAGAAAGUGAGUGGAAUACAGGUUAUAGGCAUUUACAAGAUUCCAGUCCAUUGAGACCUUGCACAUGGGAACACAACAGCAUCUCUUCAAAUGCAAUUUUGAAGAUGUUCACACAGGCAUCAUGGGGAGAAGACUGGAAGGAAUGCUCUGCACCCUGGGGUUGUGUGCUGAGUGCGACUCUGGGGAAGAAAAUGACUCCACAGCUUAAAUAAAAAUGUUGAAGGCCACUGUGAGCUACAUCUCAAAUGGCCCCCGAGGGAUCUUUUCCAUGGCCUUAGCUCACUUGCAGAAGACAUCUGCAUGGCCCAGCAAGCUCCGCGGAUGCAGAGGCAGAGUGUGAUCAAAGCCCAGCUCAGCUCUCCUCUGGUCGCCGAAUACCUGUCUGGGGCACAUUGGAGAGGAGCAGGGGACCUGCAGACUGUGCCCAUCAAGACAGCGACUGCCAUUUUCUGUGCCUCCAGGACUGGGGUCAUCAUCAGGGCUGUGCAUACAGGACAAAAAGCUCUCAUUUUUCCAUCUGGCAUUCCUCAUCUCUGGAUCGGCAUGGGCAGCAGUAAAUUCCAGGAGAGACCUUAGCCAACCAUCCCCUUUGUUUCCUGAAAGAAGAGAGGUUUAUGUUCUCCUGGAAGGCUGACCAGCAGUAACUUAGGGAAGCCACAGGCCAGCAGCACACUGAAAUGCAGAUGUGAUUAGAUAAACGAGGGAGCAAAGGCAUGUUGUGUCAUUAUAGCUUUACAUAAACUCUCC
rnacentral:lncRNA from 1 species